rnacentral:rRNA from 1 species
AACGAACGCUGGCGGCAGGCUUAACACAUGCAAGUCGAACGCAUCCUUCGGGGUGAGUGGCAGACGGGUGAGUAACGCGUGGGAACGUGCCCUUCAGUUCGGGAUAACCCAGGGAAACUUGGGCUAAUACCGGAUACGUGCGAGAGCAGAAAGAUUUAUCGCUGAAGGAUCGGUCCGCGUCUGAUUAGCUAGUUGGUGGGGUAAUGGCCCACCAAGGCGACGAUCAGUAGCUGGUCUGAGAGGAUGAUCAGCCACAUUGGGACUGAGACACGGCCCAAGCUCCUACGGGAGGCAGCAGUGGGGAAUAUUGGACAAUGGGCGCAAGCCUGAUCCAGCCAUACCGCGUGAGUGAUGAAGGCCUUAGGGUUGUAAAGCUCUUUCGUCCGGGACGAUAAUGACGGUACCGGAAGAAGAAGCCCCGGCUAACUUCGUGCCAGCAGCCGCUGUAA